rnacentral:lncRNA from 1 species
GAUUUUAGGGCUUUUUUGAUGAAGUGUACUGCUGCUGCUGUUUGUUGUUAACUGCUACUAUUCUUUUCAAGGAGGACUCCAAGCCCUGGAGCCGCUGCUGCUGCCAGAAGAAAAAGUGCCUGUGGAAGGUCCUGCAGCCAAGCAGGAUCUCACUGGUGAUCCCCAUCCUUCCAUGGAGUCUCAUGCUUGCAGC